CCUACGGGUGGCAGCAGUGGGGAAUAUUGCACAAUGGGGGGAACCCUGAUGCAGCGACGCCGCGUGGGUGAGGAAGUACUUCGGUAUGUAAAGCCCUAUCAGCAGGGAAGAAAAUGACGGUACCUGACUAAGAAGCCCCGGCGAACUACGUGCCAGCACGCGCGGGAAUACGGAGGGGGCCAGCGUUAUCCGGAUUUACUGGGUGUAAAGGGAGCGUAGACGGGGUGCCAAGUCUGAUGUGAAAGGCCGGGGUUCAACCCCGGGACUGCAUUGGAAACUGGCAUGCUGGAGUGCCGGAGGGGCAAGCGGAAUUCGUGGUGUAGCGGUGAAAUGCGUAGAUAUUAGGAAGAACACCGAUGGCGAAGGCAGCUUACUGGCCGGUAACUGACGUUGAGGCUCGAAAGCGUGGGGAGCAAACAGGAUUAGAUACCCGUGUAGUC
rnacentral:rRNA from 1 species